rnacentral:misc_RNA from 1 species
CACCUAUUCAAGAUUGGUGUAAGCAUAUGCCAUACAAGAGGUUCGCAGAAGCGAUUAUCAUCGCUUCAAAGAAAUAUAAGAUUGCCUAUAGCAAGAAACGUACUGGAUGGACAGAGGAUAUUUUUAAGUGGCAACAUACAAUUCAACCUGGUGUUCCAAUUGACUUAAAAGAGUAUUUUCUCCGUACCAUCUUCUUAGCAAUUUCAUUUUUUUAUAUGAUUUCCAUUGUAUAUAACUUAGUUGGCAAAACAUUAUUUUAUAGGCUUAACACCAGCUACCUUAUCCUACAAGCUAUGGCCAUGUGGGGGAAUGAUAGUCCAAUGAAAUUUGUUAGGGUGAGUGGAGUACGUUCCUUUCAUAUUCAAACAUACAUUCCAAUUAAAUAAUAAAAAAUGACGUUUUGUUCUC